UACGUAGGCGGAAAAUUAAGUCAGUAGUGAAAUCCUGCAGCUUAACUGUAGUACUGUUAUUGAUACUGGUUUUCUUGAAUAUAGUUGAGGUAGGCGGAAUGUGUAAUGUAGCGGUGAAAUGCUUAGAUAUUACACAGAACACCGAUUGCGAAGGCAGCUUACUAAGCUAUUAUUGACGCUGAGGCACGAAAGCGUGGGGAGCGAACAGGAUUAGAUACCCUGGUAGUCC
rnacentral:rRNA from 1 species